rnacentral:rRNA from 1 species
UGGGGAAUAUUGCACAAUGGGCGCAAGCCUGAUGCAGCAACGCCGCGUGAGGGACGACGGCCUUCGGGUUGUAAACCUCUUUUGGCAGGGAAGAAGCGAAAGUGACGGUACCUGCAGAAAAAGCACCGGCUAACUACGUGCCAGCAGCCGCGGUGAUACGUAGGGUGCAAGCGUUGUCCGGAAUUAUUGGGCGUAAAGAGCUCGUAGGCGGUUUGUCGCGUCUGCUGUGAAAACCCGAUGCUCAACCUCGGGCCUGCAGUGGGUACGGGCAAACUAGAGUGCGGUAGGUGAGAUUGGAAUUCCUGGUGUUGCGGUAGGAUGCGCAGAUAUCAGGAG